rnacentral:misc_RNA from 1 species
CUUCUCUCGUCCGUACAACCAACAUUGAUGCCAUCUUACAGGCUGCUGAUGAGAUUCAGGAGGAGGACGCCAUCGUCGCUAGAAUACUGUGUGAGCAGGCAUAUUCCAUGGCACAAAACUUGGACCCAAACAGCGAGGGUCGUGGUGUUCUCCAAUUUAAGACUGGUUUGAUGUCUGUAAUUAAGCAAAAACUUGCCAAAAGGGAUGGUGCCCAAAUAGAUCGCAGUCAUGACAUUGAACACUUGUGGGAAUUUUACCAACGUUAUAAGAGAAGGCAUAGAGUGGAUGAUAUCCAAAGAGAGGAGCAAAAUUGGCG